rnacentral:rRNA from 1 species
CGGGCAGGCGGUUCCUUAAGUCUGAUGUGAAAUCUCCCGGCUCAACCGGGAGCAGCCAUUGGAAACUAGGGAACUGGAGGGCGAGAGAGGUAGGCGGAAUUCCGGGUGGAGUGGUGAAAUGCGUAGAGAUCCGGAGGAACACCAGAGGCGAAGGCGGCCUACUGGCUCGCACCUGACGCUGAGCCGCGAAAGCCAGGGGAGCGAACGGGAUUAGAAACCCCGGUAGUCCUGGCCGUAAACGAUGUGUGCUGGGUGGUGGGGGGUCUCCCUUCACUGCCGAAGCUAACGCGAUAAGCACACCGCCUGGGGAGUACGGUCGCAAGGCUAAA